UGGGGAAUUUUGGACAAUGGGCGCAAGCCUGAUCCAGCCAUGCCGCGUGAGUGAUGAAGGCCCUAGGGUUGUAAAGCUCUUUCACCGGUGAAGAUAAUGACGGUAACCGGAGAAGAAGCCCCGGCUAACUUCGUGCCAGCAGCCGCGGUAAUACGAAGGGGGCUAGCGUUGUUCGGAUUUACUGGGCGUAAAGCGCACGUAGGCGGACUAUUAAGUCAGGGGUGAAAUCCCGGGGCUCAACCCCGGAACUGCCUUUGAUACUGGUAGUCUUGAGUUCGAGAGCGGUGAGUGGAAUUCCGAGUGUAGAGGUGAAAUUCGUAGAUAUUCGGAGGAACACCAGUGGCGAAGGCGGCUCACUGGCUCGAUACUGACGCUGAGGUGCGAAAGCGUGGGGAGCAAACAGG
rnacentral:rRNA from 1 species